UACGGAGGGUGCAAGCGUUAUCCGGAUUCACUGGGUUUAAAGGGUGCGUAGGUGGGUCUGUAAGUCAGUGGUGAAAUCUCCGGGCUUAACCCGGAAACUGCCAUUGAUACUAUAGGUCUUGAAUUAUCUGGAGGUAAGCGGAAUAUGUCAUGUAGCGGUGAAAUGCUUAGAUAUGACAUAGAACACCAAUUGCGAAGGCAGCUUACUACGGAUCGAUUGACACUGAGGCACGAAAGCGUGGGGAUCAAACAGG
rnacentral:rRNA from 1 species